rnacentral:rRNA from 1 species
CUGUCUCAAAGAUUAAGCCAUGCAAGUAAAAGUGCCAACUUGUUCGUUCUUCGGAACUAAGUUGAACUGCGGACUACUCAUUGCAAUGUUUUGAAAAAAGCUGAAAGACGUGAAAGGGAUAUAUACGGCAAAUCUGGGUCUAAUACAGAAUAACGUACACCUAGCUAUGGAUAAAGAAAUCGAAGAGAAUGGCCGUCCACUUUUUGCGGAUUGACAGCCGGAACCAACACCAUUUUCUGGUUGGUGGUGUAUUGGUGCAAAUAGGACAAUGGUUGCGGAUGAUAGUUGUCGGGCGUCGGAGAAUACGCUUGAGAAACGGCGAAUACUUCUAAGGAAGGCAGCAGGCUCGCAAAUUACCCAUACUUCUAAUUUUGAGCGGGUGGUAGUGACAACAAAUACCGAAACCUUCCUCAUAUGAGGAGCUAUUGGAAUGAUUUUCUUUUAAACCGAGAUCGCAGGAUCUAUGAGAGGGCAAGUCUGGUGCCAGCAGCCGCGGUAACUCCAGCUCUUAAAGUUUAUACCAUAUCUGCUAUGGUUGGAAUGCAUUACUUUGGAUUCUAUUUGCCGGUGCAGCUUCGGUUGCGCAUGCCGGCGGAAUACUCCGAGUCUCACGGAGUGUUCAAAACAAGACUUUUGCUUGAACGAUCAUUGCAUGGGAUAUUGGAAAAGGACUAUGUGCUCUUUAUUUUGGUUUCGGCCUAGUAAUGGAUAGCAGGGUCUGCCGGGGGCGUACGUAUCGUCCCGCGAGGGGUGAAAUCCGUAGACCGUGACGAGACGACCAAGAGCGCAAGCAUACGCCAAGAAAAGACCCGCUAACCUCUGGGCGAGAGCCUGACGAUUAAAGACGAUUAGAUACCGUCGUAGUUUUAUCUGUGAACGAUGGGAACUGACUGAAGUUUUAUGCGAAGUACUACAAGAGUUGUUUGAAUUCCUGGAAACGUCGAGUGUCCCUCCAGGGGUAGUAUUGUUGCAAAGCUGAAACUUAAAGGAAUUGACGGAAGCGCACCACCAGGAGUGGAGCCUGUGGCUUAAUUUGACUCAACACGGAGAAACUUAACCCAGCCAUCACGUUUAGUGGAUGGACCUGCGAAAGUGAGCGUUCUUGAUUUUACGAAUAGUGGUGCAUGGUCGAUUUUAGUUCGUGGGUUGAUCUCUCAGCUUAAUUGCGUUAACGAACAAGAUACAAAAACCCCAAAAGGAUUAUCCAAGUGGGUUCAACGGUUACUUCCAAAUUUCUAUGAAAGUUGUGCUAUAUCAGGUCUGUACGCUCUACGAUGGCUGGGGCCGCACGCGUGCUACACUUAGGUCCGCAGCGAGUUCUUAAUCACAGCGGGUAAACCCACUGUGACGAACCAAUGCAAUGGACCUUCGUGGAUUGGGAUUGUAAUUUGCACGUUUGUCGGCUAAUUCGAUAUCGUGAACAAGGAAUUCCUAGUAAGCGUUCAGUCAUCAUCUUACACUGAAUGCGUCCCUGCGCUUUGUACACACCGCCCGUCGCUACCGGGGACUCUGAGCUGCGGCGAGAAGAAUUUUUUUCUGAUCGUCCGCGGCUUGAACCCGGUAAAAGUCGUAACAAGGUACCGGUAGGUGAACCUGCCGGUGGAUCAACGACA